rnacentral:rRNA from 1 species
GAUGAACGCUGGCGGCGCGCCUAACACAUGCAAGUCGAACGAUUAAAGCACCUUCGGGUGUGUAUAAAGUGGCGAACGGCUGAGUAACACGCGGGCAACCUGCCCCUUUCAUUGGGAUAGCCACGGGAAACCGUGGAUAAUACCGAAUACUUCGAGACUUCCGCAUGGAAGACUCGAGAAAGCUCCGGCGGAGAGGGAUGGGCCCGCGGCCUGUUAGCUUGUUGGUGGGGUAACGGCCUACCAAGGCAAUGAUGGGUAGCUGGGUUGAGAGACCGACCAGCCAGAUUGGGACUGAGACACGGCCCAGACUCCUACGGGAGGCAGCAGUGGGGAAUCUUGCACAAUGGGCGAAAGCCUGAUGCAGCGACGCCGCGUGCGGGAUGAAGGCCUUCGGGUUGUAAACCGCUUUCAGCAGGGACGAGGCGAAAGUGACGGUACCUGCAGAAGAAGCCCCGGCUAACUACGUG